rnacentral:miRNA from 1 species
CAGGAGACUAGUUGGUAUUUCA